CCAUGCAGUCGAGCGGAAGGCCCUUCGGGGUACUCGAGCGGCGAACGGGUGAGUAACACGUGAGCAACCUGCCCCUGACUCUGGGAUAAGCCCGGGAAACUGGGUCUAAUACCGGAUACGACCGCCCCCGGCAUCGGGUGGUGGUGGAAAGUUUUUCGGUUGGGGAUGGGCUCGCGGCCUAUCAGCUUGUUGGUGGGGUAGUGGCCUACCAAGGCGACGACGGGUAGCCGGCCUGAGAGGGCGACCGGCCACACUGGGACUGAGACACGGCCCAGACUCCUACGGGAGGCAGCAGUGGGGAAUAUUGCGCAAUGGGCGGAAGCCUGACGCAGCGACGCCGCGUGGGGGAUGACGGCCUUCGGGUUGUAAACCUCUUUCAGCAGGGACGAAGUUGACGUGUACCUGCAGAAGAAGCGCCGGCUAACUACGUGCCAGCAGCCGCGGUAAUACGUAGGGCGCAAGCGUUGUCCGGAAUUAUUGGGCGUAAAGAGCUCGUAGGUGGCUGGUCGCGUCUGCCGUGAAAGCCCGCAGCUUAACUGCGGGUCUGCGGUGGAUACGGGCCGGCUAGAGGUAGGUAGGGGCAAGUGGAAUUCCUGGUGUAGCGGUGAAAUGCGCAGAUAUCAGGAGGAACACCGGUGGCGAAGGCGGCUUGCUGGGCCUUACCUGACGCUGAGGAGCGAAAGCGUGGGGAGCGAACAGG
rnacentral:rRNA from 1 species